UCGGAAGGCGGACAUUCAAACCACUACUGGAAUCACUCAAAGGCCGGUGACCCGACUUGCUGUCAUAGAUGUUCGGGAUACUGGUGAAGGUAUAGCAGAAGAAACUUCGUGCAAUACGGGCGGGGGCAUGUUGGCAACCCGGCCCCUCACAAUCCAACAGGGACCGACAGAGUGACAUUCUAGUUGACAGUUGACAUGACAGACCAAUACAGUGAAGAAUUUCUAUGCGAGACUCUAUGUUUAGACAGAACAAAACGUAACAAAGCAACAAGUUAAAAAUUCUUAUAUCUAAAAUUUGUGAAUUUAUUAUUUCUAAUUGAUUAAAACCUAUUGAACUAUAUAAGAUAGACCCUAAAAUAUCGAUUGUUACAUUACGACGGAGAAUACACGUGAAAGACUAAUGUUCUGAUAGCAUACUCCAUUAAAAGACCGAGUUUGCUGUGAAGAAGUCCGAAUCGUCUCCGCUCCCGUAACAGGCAUAU